rnacentral:rRNA from 1 species
UACGUAGGGUGCGAGCGUUAAUCGGAAUUACUGGGCGUAAAGCGUGCGCAGGCGGUUGUGCAAGACCGAUGUGAAAGCCCCGGGCUCAACCUGGGAACGGCAUUGGUGACUGCACGGCUAGAGUGUGUCAGAGGGGGGUAGAAUUCCACGUGUAGCAGUGAAAUGCGUAGAGAUGUGGAGGAACACCGAUGGCGAAGGCAGCCCCCUGGGUUAACACUGACGCUCAGGCACGAAAGCGUGGGGAGCAAACAGG